rnacentral:lncRNA from 1 species
UGGGAUCCACCUGCUUGAAAUACCCUCCAUAUGCGAAGCGCACAAAUCUUAGAACAGUACCAGUAUCUCCGUGAUAAAACAUGGAGACGUUCGAUUCUUUAUAUCAAUAAAUAAAUAAAUAAAUAGUUGGUGGGCACAUGAUCUCCGUCAACGUGUACAUGAUCAUGGAAAGUGAGGAAGUUUUGUUUUUGAUGAAGAAAUUAAAGUGUAGACGUGAUCAUGGAAAAUGAGGAAGUUUUUUGUUUUUCACGAAGAAAUUAAAGCAUAUGAUGGCACUGACGAUGCUGCUCGCGGACAAGCUGCCCUGAUGUGUCCCGGCUGGCCACAUCCAUAACAUCUGCCCUCUCGCUGCUCGCACUGUCUGGCCCAGUGCGGUCCCCCGCAAAUCACGCACUGCUGUGUCCGCUGUAUCCUCUGUGGCUGCCCCCGCUCACGGGUAUCCCUGCCACACUGACGCCCCGAGGAUCCACGACCCUGAAAACGUGAUCGUGGAGGCCUCGGCGGACGCCUGCUGCUCGACUGUCCACCGUCCUCUGGAGCGGGGCGCUUCCUGUCCUGGCUCGGUCCCGGCCCCUGAGUCCGCUCUCGAAGUGUCGCCUCGCCUCUCUCCUCAAACAGUGCCUGCUCGAUGGACGCAUCCAGGGUCCUCGACCUCCGCGCCCUAACGAACCUGUAGAGAUCCGGCCUCAAGCCCUGCUCGAAAAGGUACACCCGAUGUGCCUCAUCUCUAGCUACAAAAGGCACACAGUUCAGGAGUCGCGUAAACUCCCGAACGUACUCCCGAACCGUGCGAUCCCCCUGCUGUAUCCUCUUCAAGUCUUCUUCAAUCGCCUG